AUGGCCGCAGUAUUUUGACUGUGCAAAGGUAGCAUAAUUAUUAGUUUUUUAAUUGAAAGCUUGUAUGAAGGGUUGGACGAGAUAAAAUCUGUCUUUAUUUAAAUUAAAAUAGAAUUUAACUUUUAAGUCAAAAGGCUUAAAUGUUUAUAAAAGACGAGAAGACCCUAUAGAUCUUUAUUAAAUUUAAAUUUUGAUAAUUUAAGAUUAUUUUAAUUUAAAGUUUAAAUUUAAUUUUAUUGGGGUAAUAUAAAGAUUAAAUAAAUUCUUUUUGUUAAUCACAUUAAUUUAUGUUUAUAUGAUCCAUUAUUAUUGAUUAUAAGAUUAAGUUACCUUAGGGAUAACAGCGUAAUUUUUUUGGAGAGCCCAUAUCGAUAAAAAAGUUUGCGACCUCGAUGUUGGAUUAAAAAUUAGCUUGGGUGCAGAAGCUCAAGAUUUUGGUCUGUUCGACCAUUAAAUUUUUACAUGAUCUGAGUUCAGACCGGCGUAAGCCAGGUCGGUUUCUAUCUUUAUUUAAAUAAAAUAUUUUAGUACGAAAGGACCAAGUAUUUAAUAUAAUUAUAUUUAUUUUUUGAAUAAUAUU
rnacentral:rRNA from 1 species